UACGUAGGGGGCAAGCGUUGUCCGGAAUCAUUGGGCGUAAAGCGCGUGUAGGCGGCUCGAUAAGUCUGCUGUGAAAGUCCAGGGCUCAACCCUGGAAUGCCGGUGGAAACUGUCGAGCUAGAGUCCGGAAGAGGCGAGUGGAAUUCCUGGUGUAGCGGUGAAAUGCGCAGAUAUCAGGAGGAACACCAAUGGCGAAGGCAGCUCGCUGGGACUGUACUGACGCUGAGACGCGAAAGCGUGGGGAGCAAACAGG
rnacentral:rRNA from 1 species